rnacentral:lncRNA from 1 species
CAAGCGCUUGUCAAUCCAGAAACAGAAAGACAAACAAGCUCAGACAAGUUUAGCUCAUGUUACUAACAAAAUCGAUAGUAUGAAUCUUACAUUACAGAACCAUUUCAAUACUGGAUUGAUAAAUGUCCGAGGGUGUUCUUUGCUUCCUGAUGGUAGAAUGGUUUUCUCUUGUUUUACAAAGAACAAAUUAUCGGUAUUCAAAUCUGUCGGACAACUAGAUUUCGAAAUAAAAAAUAUUGCUGAUACGUUCGAUCUAGUAUAUAUUGGAAAUGACUGUGUUGCUGUGUCAUCUGGGCAGUCAUUUCCGAUUAAUGUAAUCAACAUAAAGAAAAAUAGACGAGAGAAAACGAUAAAAGUGAGCACAUUUUGUGAUGGAGUGAAAGACAAUGAUGGAGUAGCAUACAUUGAUGGAAAUUUGAUUUAUUGUAGUAGGGAAGAAGGACUACGUAUGAUUAGUUGUUUUGAUGGUUCAGUUUCCACUAUUGGUUCUAAUAACGCACUUUCGUACGCUUCUUACGUUACGACAUUCAGAAGCAGAUUGUUCUACACAAUUCAUAGAGAUGACAGUGUAACCUGUUGGCAUUACCAGGGUAAAAUACUGUGGACAUUUAGUAAUGCGAAUGUUUUGAAGACUCCACUUGGUAUCUCAGCAGACAACAAUGGAAACGUGUUUGUAGCGGGAGCUAAUAGCGACAAUGUAAUUGUUAUCUCUGGUGAUGGAAAACGCUACAGAGAACUCUUAUCACAUGAAGAUGGACUAAUUAGACCGCAGGUUCUUCACUAUGAUAAAUCUACAGAUAAAUUGUUAGUUGUAAAUGAAAAAACGAUGCAUUCUUGUAUGGCGUUAAAUAAGAAUUUGUGAUGCUAACUUUUUCCAGUAGUUACCAUUCUUUAUAAAACAUUGCUUAGAUAAACCUUAGCCGCAUUAAGUUUUCGCAUUUAGGCCAAUUAUCCACUAACAGCAAGUAAAGGAUAACUGCGUUUCAUCUUCAGAGUGGUGGUUAAUAUGAUAGACUUUGGUCCCUUUUACUUGAAACUGUUGUUUAAGAAAAUAUGUUUGUAAAUAAAACUCAC